UGUGGCUGUGUAUGUGUGGGUAUGCACAUAUUGACAUACACACUCACAUCCACACACAUGCACACACACUCAUA
rnacentral:miRNA from 1 species